rnacentral:piRNA from 1 species
UGAUGUGGAAAGCUGAUACCUGAUGCA